UUUUUAUUCAGAACUCUUCCUAGGAAGGUGGAGACGCGUUAACGACGGGGGGACUCUUCUAACUCAGCGGAAAGAUGCGGUUCUCCCUGACAGCCUCCAUGUUUCUGGCUUUGGGGUUGAUCCUUCCUAACAGAGUGUCGCUUUCUGGACUUCCAGAGGACAUGGAGGGAUCAGGAAAUGACCUGGAAGUUUCUGGUUCUGGAGAGGAUCCAGAUCAUGAAUGGACAAGCAGCAAACCUGGCCCAGAUAUUGUGUUAAACCCAGCAAACGGAAACCCAAAUACUGCCAAGAGCGCUUCCUUUCUUAACACGGGCAGCUCACACAGGCAUGACGGAGACGCUGCACCGAAACUGGUUGUUAUAUCAAACAGCGAGAGUUUACUGGAAAACAAAGAAGUCGCUGCAGCUGCCAUUGCGGGGGGAUUAACAGGAGGAAUAUGUGGAGUUUUGCUAUCAGCGAUGCUAAUCUACAGAUGGAUGAAAAAACACAAAGAAGAAGCUAUUCUCAGUCAGAAAAAGGCUUCAGAUGAAGACUAUCACAAACCGAUCAGGGACGUAUCCAGGUUGGUUUUAAAUGUUUAAAGCCCUGCAGGGUGCCUUCUUCCCUUCUUCUGGAUUGUGGAGAGCUGCUGUGAAAUAAAUUUCUCAAAAGAACUGAAGGAUCAACUUUUUAUUUUCUUGCACUUAAUCAAAAUGCACCGUGCCACCUGAAAGUAUUCAUCUCCUUCAAUUUUUCAACAAUUUGUCAGGUUGUGUUCUGUAAUAAUUUUGAGUCUUACUUCUUUUCUCCCCCCCUUAAAGACCUGCAGUACACUCUACUCCAUGAUGAUGAGGCCAAAACAGAUUUUUAGGAAGAUGCACAAUUGUUUUUUUUUUUUUGGCUUAAAGGUUGUUAAUCCAGUGGUUUAUCAGUAUUCUUGUCCAUCCAUAUUGCUCGUCCAUGCAGGGUCACAGGGGAACUGGUUCCUAUCUUAAGCAGCAGCUGGCAGGUAGGUAGGGUACAUCCUAGACAGGCUGCCAGUCCAGAACAGGGCAACGCAGAGAAAACACGGGACAAACAGCCAUGCACGUUCAAACCUGAGAGCAAUUUUAGAGAAGAACAUUCAGACUCCAUCCCAGCCUGGGAUUUGAACCCAGAACCUUCCAGCUGUGAGUUCAAUCUAGCGUACGUGCCUGAUUGUUAGAGUGCAUUAGCAUUGGCUGACCUUCUGAAUCGUCGUCCUGUAUGCUCAACGUAAUGCUUGGGCUUUGCCUUGGUGUCUGGUUCUGCCUCGUUCACCUGUCUUACCCACACCGUUUCUCCCUGAUUACCCUAGUUAGGUUGGGAAGCCAAAUCUAGGGAGGGUCCCGGUGGUUCUAAAAGUCUUUCAUUUAUGAAUGAUAAAGACCAAGGUGUUUUUAAGGACCUUCAAUGCUGCCAAAUUAGUUUUCGCAUCUUUCUCCCGAUUGUGUUUCUGAACACAAUCUCAGGGAUCUCAGCACCAUUCCUUUGACUUUAUUGCUUGGUUUCUGCUCUGACAUGCACUGUCAACUGUGAGACCUUUCAUAAGCAAGUGUGUUCCUUUCCAAAUCAUGUCCAGUGACCUAAAUUGAGCAAAGGUGGAACCCAGUGAAGCUGUGGAAAUCAGAUGCAGCUAAGAGGAGUUUUAAUUUGCCUAGCAAAUGCAGUGGAUGCGUACUUAAGUACCUACAACAUUUAUCUUUUCUUUACAAAAAUACCGGAAAACAUGUUCUCACUUUGCCACUAUGAUUUUUUUUUUUGUCAAUAUUUGUUUUUAAAAAAAUCAAAUAUUUUUCAGAAUCAGACUAAUAUAAUAAACUGAGUGAAAGAGAAAGGAUGUGAAUACUUCUUGGUGGCUGAUGUGUUUUUGAUCAUUUACCAUUUGUAUCUGUAAACUGACAUUUACUUUGAAUAAUUUAACUUUAUUUUAAGAUGGAUUCAGUCUGUUCCAUAUAAUCCUUGACACUGGUUUGAAACCGGAUGCAAUGCACUAAUUGUCACGAGUCUGUAGUUUCCAUUGUUUUGUUUUCUUUGUAGCAUUUAAUAUAAAAAGCGUAAACAAAUCUGGAAAAAAAUACAAAUUUCUGUGGCAGCUUAUACCUCUUUUUAGAUGUUUGGAAGUUUUUACUACAGAAGAUCUUGAUUUGUAUGUGUUGUCAUUAUAAUAGAACGUUAAUGCUAUCAUCUGCUGCACUUUCCAGAUCUUGUGUUUUUGUUGGUUUUUGCUCACUUACAAACAACUUUUUAGUGUCAUUAAAGUUUGUACUAAGGCUUUAGGUUUUCAUACUACAUAUUUAAUGUAUUAAUUUGUGUAUGGGCUGAUUUAGUACUAUAAGGGCAGUAAAAAAAUAUACUCACCUUUUUUAUUUUGCUAAAAAAUACAAAAUGAGUCUGUAAACCUACUAUGUAAUAGGAUUUUUUUCUCUCCAUGAAAUAAACACUUUAUACACUUUA